AUUGAACGCUGGCGGCAGGCUUAACACAUGCAAGUCGAGCGGGGGAAGGUAGCUUGCUACCGGACCUAGCGGCGGACGGGUGAGUAAUGCUUAGGAAUCUGCCUAUUAGUGGGGGACAACAUCUCGAAAGGGAUGCUAAUACCGCAUACGUCCUACGGGAGAAAGCAGGGGAUCUUCGGACCUUGCGCUAAUAGAUGAGCCUAAGUCGGAUUAGCUAGUUGGUGGGGUAAAGGCCUACCAAGGCGACGGUCUGUAGCGGGUCUGAGAGGAUGAGCCGCCACACUGGGACUGAGACACGGCCCAGACUCCUACGGGAGGCAGCAGUGGGGAAUAUUGGAAAAUGGGGGGAACCCUGAUCCAGCCAUGCCGCGUGUGUGAAGAAGGCCUUAUGGUUGUAAAGCACUUUAAGCGAGGAGGAGGCUACUUUAGUUAAUACCUAGGGAUAGUGGACGUUACUCGCAGAAUAAGCACCGGCUAACUCUGUGCCAGCCGCCGCCGUAA
rnacentral:rRNA from 1 species